rnacentral:rRNA from 1 species
GAUGAACGCUGGCGGCGUGCCUAAUACAUGCAAGUCGAGCGAACGGACGAGAAGCUUGCUUCUCUGAUGUUAGCGGCGGACGGGUGAGUAACACGUGGAUAACCUACCUAUAAGACUGGGAUAACUUCGGGAAACCGGAGCUAAUACCGGAUAAUAUUUUGAACCGCAUGGUUCAAAAGUGAAAGACGGUCUUGCUGUCACUUAUAGAUGGAUCCGCGCUGCAUUAGCUAGUUGGUAAGGUAACGGCUUACCAAGGCAACGAUGCAUAGCCGACCUGAGAGGGUGAUCGGCCACACUGGAACUGAAACGCGGUCCAGACUCCUACGGGAGGCAGCAGUAGGGAAUCUUCCGCAAUGGGCGAAAGCCUGACGGAGCAACGCCGCGUGAGUGAUGAAGGUCUUCGGAUCGUAAAACUCUGUUAUUAGGGAAGAACAUAUGUGUAAGUAACUGUGCACAUCUUGACGGUACCUAAUCAGAAAGCCACGGCUAACUACGUG